AGAGCGAACGCUGGCGGCGUGCUUAACACAUGCAAGUCGAGUGCGCGCCCGUAGCAAUACGGGUGGCGCACGGCGCACGGGUGCGUAACACGUGGGCAAUCUGCCCUCGGAUGGGGGAUACCCCCGCGAAAGCGGGACUAAUACCGCAUAAAAUUCCGGAGACCUUGGUUUCUGGAUUCAAAGGCCGCAAGGUCGUCUGAGGAGGAGCCCGCGCCCGAUUAGCUAGUUGGUGAGGUAACGGCUCACCAAGGCUUUGAUCGGUA
rnacentral:rRNA from 1 species